rnacentral:lncRNA from 1 species
UUUUUGUGUUGUGCAUGUUUUGUGCUGAUCUCUAUCAUAUCACUAUUGUGCAGAGGAAGACAGAUGAGUAAGUAUAAUUUCUUUAGGCUUGAUCGAACCCAUUUUUAGUUCUAAAUAUCAUUCCUCACAUGACAUCAAAUGGAAAGUGUUGAAUUCACGCAUAUUUUCUUCGAUUCUUUAGUGAUUAGGAAUUAAUUGGUUGAUGCUUUAAGAUGAUUUACCGAGCUAGCUCUUACCUCUGAAUGAUGUUGUCGACAUUAACAUAAAGACAAUUGAAGUAGGAUGUCAUUAGGGUCAUAUAAGUUUCCAAGUGAUAAAAUUAUUUGCCAUGACUUUAUAAUGAAAUUGUAGAAUCUUACUAAUUAGAACUUCUCAGAUGCUAAUUUAUGUGUUGGAAUUUGAUGAUGACGAAGAAGACGGGUCUCUACCUCAAAGGACAGUGCCCUUCCACACAGUGGUUCCUCUUCCAGAAGGACAUCGUCAAUAAAUUACACAACCAGUUUUUAGCUGUGAAUAUAGUAGAAACUAGCUUGUAUUGUUGUUUGGUUGUGUAAUAUGCUCCAUGUGUGUUUAUUAAGCUGUCAAGGACAUUGCAGUGAGGCUAACUUUAUGCACGUAUUAGUGACAUUUUAGUUUAAUUAAAUGUUGAGAAUGAUAGAUAUCUAUCGUUUGGUUCUGUAUAACAACUUUCUCCAAAUCCACGCUGUGAAAGUUAUGAUGAGAAAUCUGCCUAAACAUUUUAAAAGUUUAUCCAAUUCUCUUAUUGAUCUAAUUAUUGUAAUUGAAGAGGAAAUCUAUCAAUUUGUUUGUCGUAAAUUGUAAUGUAAAAUGCACGUACGAGUUGCGUAACAUUACGGUGAUUAUAUUAAAACAAUUAUAUUGUUAAUAUUGUGAAAUGUUUAAAAAUAUCUAAUA